GAUGAACGCUGGCGGCGUGCUUAACACAUGCAAGUCGAACGGUGAUCUCCCACUUUCGUGGGUGAUUAGUGUCGCACGCGUGAGUGUUACAUGAGUAACCUGCCCUUUACACUGUGGUAAACCUGGGAGAAACGGUCUCUAACACCGGACUGCUUCAUCCCUCAGUGUGGGGGGUGGAAAGGUUUUUGCUGGUGUUGGAUGUGCUCACGGCCUAUCAGCUUGUUGGUGGAGUAAUGGCCUACCAAGGCGACGACGGGUAGCCGGCCUGAGAGGGUGGGCGGCCACAUUGGGACUGAGAUACGGCCCAGACUCCUACGGGAGGCAGCAGUGGGGAAUAUUGCACAAUGGGCGGAAGCCUGAUGCAGCGACGCCGCGUGGGGGAUGACGGCCUUCGGGUUGUAAACUCCUUUCGGCAAGGACGAAGCGUUUUGUGACGGUACUUGGAGAAGAAGCGCCGGCUAACUACGUG
rnacentral:rRNA from 1 species